rnacentral:rRNA from 1 species
GACAGAGGAUGCAAGCGUUAUCCGGAAUGAUUGGGCGUAAAGCGUCUGUAGGUGGUUUAUUAAGUCUACUGUUAAAGAUCAGGGCUUAACCCUGAGCAGGCAAUAGAAACUAAUAAGCUAGAGUACGGUAGGGGCAGAGGGAAUUCCCGGUGUAGCGGUGAAAUGCGUAGAGAUCCGGAAGAACACCAGUGGCGAAGGCGGUCUGCUGGGCAGUAGCUGACACUGAUGCGCGACAGCGUGGGGAGCAAACAGG